rnacentral:rRNA from 1 species
UACGUAGGGGGCAAGCGUUGUCCGGAUUUAUUGGGCGUAAAGAGCGUGUAGGCGGCCAUACAGGUCAGCUGUGAAAACUCGAGGCUCAACCUCGAGACGUCGGUUGAAACCGUAUGGCUAGAGUCCGGAAGAGGAGAGUGGAAUUCCCGGUGUAGCGGUGAAAUGCGCAGAUAUCGGGAGGAACACCGACGGCGUAGGCAGCGCCCUGGCUGUGAAUAAAGCUGACACUGAGGCACGAAAGCUGGGGGAGCAAACAGG